AUGUGCUUACCCCACUUUCCGAUCACUAUCCAGAUCAGCUGCUUCAAGAUCCAUGGUUGUUACUCUCCGUGUGAGAACCCAUUUGGCCAGCAUCUUCUGCCGUCGCUCGGUGUAGAUCUCAGCGAGGUACAUGAAGAACAGCGCCAGAAUUAUGGUGCUUGUAAUUAUCCAAAACACCGCGAAAGUGCGCCCCAAUUGGGACGAGAAGCUUUUAUCCCCAUAACCCAGGGUAGUGAUUGUGGCACAGACACAAUAAAAGGAGUCAACAAGGCUCAGCUUCUCAACCUUCCAGAGAAAAACAGUCCCCACAACAAUGGCCGUCACAAGAAGCAGAGCGGCCGUGUAGAAUUUGUACUUUGUCUUGUUUGUCUCAAUUUGUCUGAGCAUUUUGGCCUCGCCACACUUCAUGUUCAUGUGCAGUGCCUUGAAGAACAACACCUCCUGCUUCUCGACGAGAUAGUCUGCUGA
rnacentral:rRNA from 1 species